GAUGAAGAACGUAGCGAAAUGCGAUACGUAAUGUGAAUUGCAGAAUUCAGUGAAUCAUCGAAUCUUUGAACGCAUAUUGCGCUCUCUGGUAUUCCGGAGAGCAUGCUUGUUUGAGUAUCAGUAAACACCUCAACUUCCAUAUCUUUUUUGAAAUGGGAGUUGGACUUGAGUGAUCCCAACGCUUUUCCUCACCGAAAAGUGGCGGGUUACUUGAAAUGCAGGUGCAGCUGGACUUUUCUCUGAGCUAUAAGCAUAUCUAUUUAGUCUGCCUAAAAAACAGGUUAUUACCUUUGCUGCAGCUAACAUAAAGGAGAUUAGUUCUUGUGCUGACUGAUGCAGGAUUCACAAAGACGGCUUCGGCCGACUUUGUAAACUCGAUCUCAAAUCAAGUAAGACUACCCGCUGAACUUAAGCAUAUCAAUAAGCGGAGGA
rnacentral:misc_RNA from 1 species